rnacentral:rRNA from 1 species
UACGUAGGGGGCUAGCGUUGUCCGGAUUUAUUGGGCGUAAAGAGCGUGUAGGCGGCCAUGUAGGUCCGGUGUGAAAACUCGAGGCUUAACCUCGAGAUGUCAUCGGAAACCAUUUGGCUAGAGUCCGGAAGAGGAGAGUGGAAUUCCUGGUGUAGCGGUGAAAUGCGCAGAUAUCAGGAGGAACACCGGUGGCGAAGGCGGGUCUCUGGGCAACUACUGACGCUGAGGAGCGAAAGCGUGGGGAGCGAACAGG